rfam:Chloroflexi bacterium RBG_16_57_8 RBG_16_scaffold_31575, whole genome shotgun sequence.
GGUCAAGCGGGUGAAAGCAUACGGUGGAUGCCUUGGCAUCAAGGGCCGAUGAAGGGCGUAGUACGGCUGCGAUAAGCCUCGGUGAGCUGCCAAACAAGCUUAGCCGGGGAUUCCCGAAUGGGGCAACCCAUCCCGAUGAACUCGGGAUACCGCCAGCUGAACACAUAGGCUGGAUGGAGGUAAGCGGGGGAAGUGAAACAUCUCAGUACCCCGAGGAAAAUAGAAAGACAUUUAUCCCCCUAGUAGUGGCGAACGAAAAGGGGCAUAGCCCAAACCUGGUAGACUUAGUGGUUCUGGAGCCUAUGUCUAUCGGGUGUAGUAAGGCGGGCAAGACCGAUCUAGAUAAGUCAGGAAGUUACCAACCGAACCCUAGUUGAAGGUCCCUGGAAAGGGCCACCACAGAAGGUGAUAGUCCGGUAAACGAAAGGGGUAGGCUUCCUGCCCGUCCUUAAGUACCACGGGACACGAGGAAUCCUGUGGGAAUCUGCCCUGACCACAGGGCAAGGCUAAAUACCCUUGAUGACCGAUAGUGAACUAGUACCGUGAGGGAAAGGUGAAAAGCACCCCGGAAGGGGAGUGAAAAGAACUGAAACCGUAUGCUGACAAGCGGUCAGAGUCCUGGCGCAAGCCGGGAUGAUGGCGUGCCUAUUGAAGAAUGAGCCGGCGAGUUAAUCUGUGUCGCUGGUUAAGCGAUUAAGUCGCGGAGCCGUAGCGAAAGCGAGUCCGAAUAGGGCGUAGGGGGCAACCCCGAGUGGCACGGAUUAGACCCGAAGCUGGGUGAGCUAUCCAUGGCCAGGGUGAAACCUCGAUAAAAUCGGGGUGGAGGUCCGAACUGGUCAGCGUUGCAAAGCUGUCAGAUGAGCUGUGGAUAGAGGUGAAAUGCCAAACGAACCCAGGGAUAGCUGGUUCUCCCCGAAAUGUAUUGAGGUACAGCCUCAGACGUUCGCUGGUGGAGGUAGAGCUCUGGAUGGACUAGGGAGAUAACAUCUUACCAACUCCAACCAAACUGCAAAUGCCACCAGCCAAAAUCUGGGAGUGAGACUGUGAGGGAUAAACUCCAUAGUCGAGAGGGGAACAGCCCAGACCAUCAGCUAAGGUCCCUAAGAGCAGGCUAAGUGGGAAAGGAAGUAGUGCUGCCCAGACAGCCAGGAGGUUGGCUCAGAAGCAGCCACCCUUUAAAGAGUGCGUAACAGCUCACUGGUUUAGUGGUGCCGCGCCGAAAAUCCAACGGGGCUUAAGCCUGUCACCGAAGCUAUGGCUUUUCUCCUUCUUCGGAAGGAGGAGAGGGUAGGGGAGCGUUCCCUUUGCUGUGAAGUCGUCGCGUGAGUGACGGUGGAGCGGAGGGAAGUGAGAAUGUCGGCAUGAGUAGCGUCAGGCGUGUGGAAAACACGCCCACCGAAGACCUGAGGUUUCCUACGCAAGGUUAAUCCGCGUAGGGUUAGUCGGGCCUAAGCCGAGGCCGGCAGGCGUAGGCGAUGGACAACGGGUUAAUAUUCCCGUACCAUUUUCACGGAGGCAAAGGGGGAAGCGGAAGAGUAGGCUAGGCAUACCCAUUGGACAUGGUGUGUCCCUCAUCCCAGGUGACGCCGGGGCAGGCAAAUCCACUCCGGAUAUUUAGCUGAAGGUGAGGGGAAGUUGAGGGGAGACCCGAGGCGACUUAGCUGAACCCAGACCGCCAAGAAAAGCCUCGUUGCCGUUGAAGUGAGAGUGCCCGUACCGCAAACCGACUCCGGUAGGUUAGGAUAAACGUCCUAAGGUGAUCGAGUGAUCCCUCGUUAAGGAACUCGGCAAUCUAACCCCGUAACUUAGGGAGAAGGGGGACCCCAACUCAGUUGGGGUGGCACAGAACAGGCUCAAGCAACUGUUUAACAAAAACACAGGUCUCUGCUAAAGCGUAAGCUGAAGUAUAGGGGCCGAUACCUGCCCAGUGUCGGGAGGUUAAGGAGAGAGGUCAGCGCAAGCGAAGCUUUGAACCGAAGCCCCGAUGAACGGCGGCCGUAACUAUAACGGUCCUAAGGUAGCGAAGUCCCUUGUCGGGUAAGUUCCGACCCGCACGAAUGGUGUAAUGACUUGAGCGCUGUCUCAACGAGGGGCUCGGCGAAAUUGAAGUACCCGUGAAGAUGCGGGUUUCCCGCGACAGGACAAAAAGACCCCGUGGAGCUUUACUACAACUUGGCACUGAGUCUGGACUUGUUAUGUGUAGGAUAGGUGGGAGGCUUUGAAGUUCCGGCGCUAGCCGGGAUGGAGCCGACGUUGAAAUACCACUCUUAAUGAGUCUAGCCUCUAACCCCAGUGCAAGCUGGGAGACAGUGUCUGGCGGGUAGUUUGACUGGGGCGGUCGCCUCCUAAAAGGUAACGGAGGCGCCCAAAGGUCCCCUCAGAGUGGAUGGAAAUCACUCGUAGAGUGCAUUGGCAUAAGGGGGCUUGACUGUGAGACCAACAAGUCGAGCAGGGACGAAAGUCGGGCAAAGUGAUCCUACGGCACCGUGUGGAAGGGCCNNNNNNNNNNNNNNNNNNNNNNNNNNNNNNNNNNNNNNNNUAUCUUGCCCAAGAGUUCAUAUCGACGGCAAGGUUUGGCACCUCGAUGUCGGCUCGUCGCAUCCUGGGGCUGGAGCAGGUCCCAAGGGUCCGGCUGUUCGCCGGUUAAAGCGGCACGCGAGCUGGGUUCAGACCGUCGUGAGACAGGUCGGUCUCUAUCCGUCGUGGGCGUCUGGAGAUUUGAGGGGGGUUCUCUCUAGUACGAGAGGGCCGAGAGGAACAGACCGCUGGUGUGCCAGCUGUCCCGCCAGGGGCAUCGCUGGGUAGCUACGUCUGGUUAGGAUAAGCGCUGAAAGCAUCUAAGUGCGAAGCCCGCCCCAAGAUUAUAUCUCCCAUCCCCGGCUUCGGCCGGGGGGUAAGACCGCAAGUAGAUUACUUGCUUGAUAGGCGGCGUGUGUAAGCACAGUAAUGUGUUAAGCUAAGCCGUACUAAUGGUCGAGGGCUUGACCUG